UGCCGAAGGUCACCGAAUCUUUCCGAACGGCAGCGCAAAUAAACGAACGUUUUUGCGUACCUGACAUAUUGCACUUCGAAUUCUAAAACUACUUUGAUUAUUUUUCUAAACUACGAGAAAAUUGUGACUUUAUUUCUUCCCUUUGAUAAACUUCACUAAAUUGUGCAUUCACGAUCGAUACACUACAAGAAAAUAGGAAUAGAAUGCGACAGAAACGGAAUGUAAGCAAGACGAACUUUGGUUACGAACUGGUCAGUCGGCGAGUGGGCAGUUAGGCCCAAGAGGGAGUGAAGAAUGAUAGUUAAUGAAAACCUGGAGAAUCGUGAAUACUAGAUGCAGCCCUGAGUCAGAGUCAGACGGGGAGAAGGAAGAAAGUAAGAAAAGCAGGUAAAGAGAGAGAAAGAGUCCUGUUCCGCGUGCACGCGUACAUAAAUGUUUGAGCGCACUUUUUCUAUGCAACUCGUUUGUGAUCGGAUGAAAACAGAUAAAUUAUAGAACUAGCAUAUAUCCACCUACGUGUCAUUGCGAGCCAAGGAACAGCUGACUCGAGUAGUCUUUCCUAUUACAGCGUGAUUGAGAGAUUCAAUACUUUUAACAUUCUCGAAUCGUUGUAACAGAUUUU
rnacentral:misc_RNA from 1 species